rnacentral:rRNA from 1 species
GACGAACGCUGGCGGCGUGCUUAACACAUGCAAGUCGAACGAAGAGCGAUGGAAGCUUGCUUCUAUCAAUCUUAGUGGCGAACGGGUGAGUAACGCGUAAUCAACCUGCCCUUCAGAGGGGGACAACAGUUGGAAACGACUGCUAAUACCGCAUACUAUCCAAUCUCGGCAUCGGGACUGGAUGAAAGGUGGCCUCUAUUUAUAAGCUAUCACUGAAGGAGGGGAUUGCGUCUGAUUAGCUAGUUGGCGGGGUAACGGCCCACCAAGGCGAUGAUCAGUAGCCGGAAGGAGAGGAUGAGCGGCCACAUUGGGACUGAGACACGGCCCAGACUCAUACGGGAGGCAGCAGUGGGGAAUCUUCCGCAAUAGACGAAAGUCUGACGGAGCAACGCGGCGGGAGGGAUGACGGCCUUCGGGUUGUAAAGCUCUGUUAAUCGGGACGAAUGGUUCUUGUGCGAAGAGUGAGAGGAUUUGACGGUACCGGAAUAGAAAGCCACGGCUAACUACGUG